rnacentral:lncRNA from 1 species
CUCUGCAGACUAUAAAGGAGGAGAUGCAUGAGGUGAACCACUUCUGUCUUCCUGGGCAGGUGUCAGAGGUCUGUGUAAGAGGAAGGCUUGGCAGAAUCUCUUGUGGAAAUUUACACGACAUCUUCCCACACAAUGGCUGGACAGUGCUGUUCUUCCUUCAGUUGUCAGGUGCAUUGGAAUGUGUAUAGAAGAAAACCCAAAGAAAAUAGGAGAUCCAAGAUUCUAGUGCAUGAAUAAAAUGCAGUUAUUGUUGGAAAUACA